rnacentral:rRNA from 1 species
UACGUAGGGUCCGAGCGUUGUCCGGAAUUACUGGGCGUAAAGAGCUCGUAGGUGGUUUGUCGCGUUGUUCGUGAAAACUCACAGCUCAACUGUGGGCGUGCGGGCGGAUACGGGCAGACUAGAGUACUGCAGGGGAGACUGGAAUUCCUGGUGUAGCGGUGGAAUGCGCAGAUAUCAGGAGGAACACCGGUGGCGAAGGCGGGUCUCUGGGCAGUAACUGACGCUGGAGGAGCGAAAGCGUGGGGAGCAAACAGG